rnacentral:rRNA from 1 species
UACGUAGGGUGCGAGCGUUGUCCGGAAUUAUUGGGCGUAAAGAGCUUGUAGGCGGUUUGUCGCGUCUGCUGUGAAAAUCCGGGGCUCAACCCCGGACUUGCAGUGGGUACGGGCAGACUAGAGUGUGGUAGGGGAGACUGGAAUUCCUGGUGUAGCGGUGAAAUGCGCAGAUAUCAGGAGGAACACCGGUGGCGAAGGCGGGUCUCUGGGCCGUUACUGACGCUGAGGAGCGAAAGCGUGGGGAGCAAACAGG